rnacentral:misc_RNA from 1 species
GAUGAAGAACGUAGCGAAUUGCGAUAAGUAAUGUGAAUUGCAGAUUUUCAGUGAAUCAUCGAGUCUUUGAACGCACAUUGCGCCCCCUGGUAUUCCGGGGGGCAUGCCUGUCCGAGCGUCAUUGCUGCCCUCAAGCACGGCUUGUGUGUUGGGCCUCCGUCCUCCUCCCGGGGGACGGGCCCGAAAGGCAGCGGCGGCACCGCGUCCGGUCCUCGAGCGUAUGGGGCUUCGUCACCCGCUCUUGUAGGCCCGGCCGGCGCUUGCCGACACAUCAAUCUUUUUUCCAGGUUGACCUCGGAUCAGGUAGGGAUACCCGCUGAACUUAAGCAUAUCAUAAGGGAGGA